rnacentral:rRNA from 1 species
UUGAACGCUGGCGGCAGGCCUAACACAUGCAAGUCGAGCGGAUGAAGGGAGCUUGCUCCUGGAUUCAGCGGCGGACGGGUGAGUAAUGCCUAGGAAUCUGCCUGGUAGUGGGGGAUAACGUCCGGAAACGGGCGCUAAUACCGCAUACGUCCUGAGGGAGAAAGUGGGGGAUCUUCGGACCUCACGCUAUCAGAUGAGCCUAGGUCGGAUUAGCUAGUUGGUGGGGUAAAGGCCUACCAAGGCGACGAUCCGUAACUGGUCUAAGAGGAUGAUCAGUCACACUGGAACUGAGACACGGUCCAGACUCCUACGGGAGGCAGCAGUGGGGAAUAUUGGACAAUGGGCGAAAGCCUGAUCCAGCCAUGCCGCGUGUGUGAAGAAGGUCUUCGGAUUGUAAAGCACUUUAAGUUGGGAGGAAGGGCAGUAAGUUAAUACCUUGCUGUUUUGACGUUACCAACAGAAUAAGCACCGGCUAACUUCGU